AUUGUCUCUGACUUAUCGUGAGGUGUGUGGUAUGUUCUGAUAAUCCUAAUAUUAUUAAUUUUGGCUCUGGAUCCAGUUGGAUAUUGAUAACUUCAGAAAUAAUUUUUAAAAUGUCCACCCAAAAAUUUUGAAUUUUAAUACAAGUUACAAAGGUAUGCGUUAAGUUGGCUGCUUCAAAUUGACAUCUAUCACAGAGAGGGGAAAUAUUUGAAAAAAUCCUAUUUAAUUUUACCUUCGAAUAAUGUAGUCUAUAUUAUAUUUUGAAUUGUAUCAAGGAGUGUCUAGCAUUUGAUGAACAGUGAUUUAUAUAUUGUAAGCUUUCAUCCCAUUUCUCUACUGAUUACUGGG